GAGAAGAGCUGCUAUCCUGCAGAGGAUCACUAAGCCCCAGCACUGCACAGGAGAGAUUAAAUCCCAGGCAACCAGCGCCGACUCACACUGCAGGGCGGGGCUCGUGAGGACCCGCCUUGUGUUCUUGGUUCCAGACAUUGGAAUCCACAACUGACUGGCACCCUUUGGCCCAAAGGGACUUCUGCUUGACUCAGAGACGGCUUUCGAUCAAUCCAGGGAAGCCUCACCUAGCUGACUUGGGGACUUAAGUUGGAUGCUGCAUCCCGACAAGGCCUCUCCUGACCUAGCCUGCAGAAGUUUGGAAUUCUUCCCCAUGUUUCCUCAGCCUCCUGCUCAGCACUACAGCCACACUGUAUCUGGUGGCACUGCCCAUUGACAGGCCUGAUCCUUCCACAGAUCAUCUAUGGUAGGCAUAAUUCUAUAGAUGCCCCACCCCAAAGAAAAAACUGCUGCCUCCGUGGAUGUUGAAUGAAUCACAGAUCUAGGGACUGUGAAGAAGCAGCUUUAUGGAUAUCAAGUC